rnacentral:rRNA from 1 species
AUUGAACGCUGGCGGCAUGCCUUACACAUGCAAGUCGAACGGUAACGGGCCUUCGGGUGCCGACGAGUGGCGAACGGGUGCGUAAUGUAUCGGAACGUACCAUUGAGUGGGGGAUAACGUAGCGAAAGUUACGCUAAUACCGCAUAUUCUCUCCGGAGGAAAGCAGGGGACCGCAAGGCCUUGCGCGCUUUGAGCGGCCGAUAUCAGAUUAUCUAGUUGGUGGGGUAAAAGCUCACCAAGGCGACGAUCUGUAGCGGGUCUGAGAGGAUGAUCCGCCACACUGGAACUGAGACACGGUCCAGACUCCUACGGGAGGCAGCAGUGGGGAAUUUUGGACAAUGGGGCAACCCUGAUCCAGCCAUGCCGCGUGAGUGAAGAAGGCCUUCGGGUUGUAAAGCUCUUUCAGCCGGGAAGAAAACGCACUCUCUAAUACAGGGUGUGGAUGACGGUACCGGAAUAAGAAGCACCGGCUAACUACGUGCCAGCAGCCGCAGUAA